AAUCAAGUGCCUUAAGGGUGUUCGGUGGAUGCCUUGGCGCUGAGAGGCGAUGAAGGACGUGCUACGCUGCGAUAAGCCGUGGGGAGCUGCGAAGAAGCUUUGAUCCAUGGAUUUCCGAAUGGGGAAACCCACCUUCGAUAGCCGGAACUCCAAGACCUUUGUCGAAAGACAUUGGUGUGGGGUUCGAUCAGAAAUGUGAGAUGCCUAAGCCUUUAGAUUUCGAUCGAAGAGGUUUUGGAUUUCCGGUUAUCAAGAGAAGGUAUGAGACUUCUGAAUACAUAGGAGGUUUCAAGCAAACCCAGGGAACUGAAACAUCUAAGUACCUGGAGGAAAGGACAUCAACAGAGACUCCGUUAGUAGUGGCGAGCGAACGCGGACCAGGCC
rnacentral:rRNA from 1 species